rnacentral:rRNA from 1 species
UACGAGAGGCCCAAACGUUAUUCGGAUUUACUGGGCUUAAAGAGUUCGUAGGCGGUCUGGUAAGUGGGGUGUGAAAGCCCUCGGCUCAACCGAGGAAUUGCGCUCCAAACUGCCAGGCUCGAGGGAGAUAGAGGUGAGCGGAACUGAUGGUGGAGCGGUGAAAUGCGUUGAUAUCAUCAGGAACACCAGAGGCGAAGGCGGCCCACUGGGUCUUUUCUGACGCUGAGGAACGAAAGCUAGGGGAGCAAACGGG